rnacentral:rRNA from 1 species
AGUGAACGCUGGCGGUAGGCCUAACACAUGCAAGUCGAACGGCAGCACAGGAGAGCUUGCUCUCUGGGUGGCGAGUGGCGGACGGGUGAGGAAUACAUCGGAAUCUACUCUGUCGUGGGGGAUAACGUAGGGAAACUUACGCUAAUACCGCAUACGACCUACGGGUGAAAGCAGGGGACCUUCGGGCCUUGCGCGAUUGAAUGAGCCGAUGUCGGAUUAGCUAGUUGGCGGGGUAAAGGCCCACCAAGGCGACGAUCCGUAGCUGGUCUGAGAGGAUGAGCAGCCACACUGGAGCUGAGACACGGUCCAGAGUCCUACGGGAGGCAGCAGUGGGGAAUAUUGGACAAUGGGCGCAAGCCUGAUCCAGCCAUACCGCGUGGGUGAAGAAGGCCUUCGGGUUGUAAAGCCCUUUUGUUGGGGAAGAAAUCCAGCUGGCUAAUACCCGGUUGGGAUGACGGUACCCAAAGAAUAAGCACCGGCUAACUUCGUGCCGGCCGCCGCGGUAA